AGAGAUUAAGCGCGCAACAUGUGUUCGUUAAUCGGUUAAAAGAAAAUCUGUUGAUAAAAAGGAAAAGAAGGAAAAGAAAAGGUUGAUGUCGAACGUGGACCGAUUGAGCGAAUACUACUUACUAAGGACCAAUGUCCCAUACGUAUGAAUGGGCAAACCUGAACGCGGAGACUCAUGCGCGCGCUUCGAAAAUCAAAAUCAAUGUGGGUCCUCCCCUCAGAACUCCAUACCGACCUUGCUCCGAUUGCCCACGCCCUUAGUGUGCCUCGUACUUCCGUCGCGGACGCAUCCCUCGUGCAAUCAUCGUCGUCUUUGCGUCCUCCUCUCUCCCUCACUCUACUCCUCUCUCUCUCUCUCUUUCUAGCUCUCUCUCUUUCUCUCUCCGCUUCACUUAUUCUCUCUCUCUCUCUCUCUCUCUCUCUCUCUCUCUCUCUCUCUCUUUCUCCAUUACCCCCACUUGGUUGCUCAUUCUAUCUCUCUUUUUCCUCCCCACUCUCUAUCUCUCUCUCUUGCUCUGGCUUUCUCUUUCUCUCGCGUGCUCUCUCUCGCUCUGUUUCUCUAUCUCUCUCUUUCUCACUUAUUCACUUCACUUACUCUUUCUCACGCAUCUACACGUACGCGGGUACAUUAUAUAACAUACACGCGGUCUGUCCUCUCUUGAUCUGUGUGCCUGCUUGUUGUGUUGUCUAUCUCCCUCGGGUUUAGGUUCGGGCUCGAGUGAAUCAAAAUAACGAAGAGAAUGUGCCGUUGAUGAUCGGUGGAAAAAAAGGGUGGUGGUACUUGUUAAAUAUCAUCGGAUCCUUUGGUGCUCUCGAUAAUCAGUCCGAAAUAUAGUUUUGUGUAUUGAUGUACGCGAGAUUUCUCGUACAGAUCGUCCCGCCUUUCUACACCGAUGCUGAAUAUUAGUGAUUUAAAUUAUGUGUGAAUUCGACGUAAGGAAACGCAAUCGUUUUGUGGAUUUUCGGUCUCGCCUUCGAGUUUAUUGUGUCAGUGAAAUUUUUUUUCGGUGUUUUCCAUUUGGUUGAUACGAAAAAAAGAACAAAAUCAAAGGUGUAUUCUAUAAUUAAGGAGUUAAUGAAUUUUGUCCAAGUGACUAACUGUUAUAUGUGAACACGCUAAAGAAGUAAUUGGUCCGCAAAACACCGGCUGAAAUGUAUCAUCGACUGUGAUAUACCUGAUGUGAUAUCCUUCGAGGAAGAAUGCAACUCCGUACAAGAUUCGAUCGAUGAAAAAUAGAAUUCUCUGCCCGUCAUCAUGUUCACGAGAGCCAAGAUGCCGGUGACUGGUGAUGGGACUUUUAUUAACCGCGGUGUAACGAGAAAUGUGACAUGUUGUCGUUAAGCAACAAUGAGCAUUGGGGAGCACGCAUCAGCGAAAAAAUCAUCGUAAAUACUCAAAAUGAUUUCUCUCUGUUUGGCUACACAUUGCGGCGUGCUUGAGUAUGCUUGCUUGAUCAUCCCAGGGCAUAUUAGCAUCGAUGAUGGCAACGGCAGCCUGGAUACUGGUAUGGAUCAUAUGGCCGACCACGCGCCAUCAACAAGAUCAGUGAAAAGGGUAUACAGUUGACGCAUCCCUCUGUUCCUUAAAGAUUGGAAAUAAGCGUCCAGAGAAGCCGGAAAAGCGGAACCGUUUUUUCAACGUCGUUUUACAUGCGUACGUGCGUACGUACGCGCGUGUUACAUUCGCUAGGUUACAUGCGAAAAGUGCGAGGAAGGGCCUGCAGAGAGAACGGAUUUCGUAGAAAAAUGUUCUGGCCGGACACGUGACAUGUAAACCGUAUACAAGCAGAGAAAUAUUUCCAUAUACAUACGGAAAAGAAACGAUAACAGGUGGAGGGAAAAACAGAGUGAGAGGGGAGAGAGAGAAAGAGAGAGAGCGAGCGAGAGAGAGAGAGAGAGAGAGUGGGGAGGGAGAGAGGAAGGAAGAAAGACAGAGGGAGGGGGAGAGAGAGAGAAAGC